GACGAACGCUGGCGGCGUGCUUAACACAUGCAAGUCGAACGGAGAGGCCCUGCUUUUGUGGGGUGCUCGAGUGGCGAACGGGUGAGUAACACGUGAGUAACCUGCCCUUGACUGUGGGAUAACUUCAGGAAACUGGGGCUAAUACCGGAUAGGAGCUCCUGCUGCAUGGUGGGGGUUGGAAAGUUUCGGCGGUUGGGGAUGGACUCGCGGCUUAUCAGCUUGUUGGUGGGGUAGUGGCUUACCAAGGCUUUGACGGGUAGCCGGCCUGAGAGGGUGACCGGCCACAUUGGGACUGAGAUACGGCCCAGACUCCUACGGGAGGCAGCAGUGGGGAAUAUUGCACAAUGGGCGGAAGCCUGAUGCAGCAACGCCGCGUGCGGGAUGACGGCCUUCGGGUUGUAAACCGCUUUCGCCUGUGACGAAGCGUGAGUGACGGUAAUGGGUAAAGAAGCACCGGCUAACUACGUG
rnacentral:rRNA from 1 species